GCUGUUGCUGCGCCACCAUCACCAUCAUCAUCUCUGUGCUUCUCAUCAUCGUCUUCACUGUGCUCACAUCGUUGAAUAUAUUGAAGCAGCAAUAACCAAGGAUGAGCUUCAGCACCUCGCUUUGCUGUUCAAAUCUGAAUUUGAUUCAAUUGGUCAAAUCACUGCUGGAGUUUUGCGGCUGCUUAAGCUGGAAGGUUCUGUUGGUCAAGCUAUAAUAGAUCAACUUGGUAACCUAGGCUAUCUUUAACGAGUAGUGUGAAGUCAUUGCUUUGUGAAAUAGCCUACAUGAACAACUCUGGAACAUUAGUUUAAUUUGCAACCUCUCUUUCUCCGGAGAAAUUGAGCACAUUGAGAUCUUCAGGUACAUACUUUUCUCAUUUUCUGUGCAAAAAAUUCUUAAAUUUUAGCUUCUUUCUUUCUUAGAAUUUGAAGAAAAAAGAAGGUUUCUUGAAUCCAGUUUUCGUUAGCUCGAAUUUUUAAGACCUCUGGUUAGAAUGUUUGUGGGGUGGGGGGAGAAAAAGUACAAAAAGUAGACAAGAAAUCACGUGGUGUAUUGAGAGUAAAGCAAAGCUGAAUAAGGUAGGGUGUAACUUUAACCAUCAUUCUAUUUUAUUUUACUUAUUAAUUUAUUUUGGCCUUACUCAAUGCCAGCUAGGAAGUUAAGUGGAAGUUUGGUACACUUAAGAUGUUCUGUUUUAGGAUUUGAACUAAUAUUAUAUGCUGAAACUAGGAGUUGAUAUCGACACAGCAGAGUUGUGAUUUCUUUGGCUUCUCUGAUUUCUUUCGUGCUUCAUUUUGUUGCCUUCCAUUUUAUUCUUGAUUUGGCCAGGGACAAUGGAUUUCCUUGGGUUUGCUGUAGGUUUAUUUUAGAGUAAAGUUCUUUUGUAUAAUAUAUAUCAAGUUGCUUAUACUCCAUUAACAAUGGAUAAUGGCUUAUCCUCUGCUAGCUAUUAGGCUAAACUAAAUGGCUUAAAAUUAUUAAAGGAUCAUAUUUAGUUCUCUAAUAGUUUUACUUUAAUACACUGCUCUAGGAUGUAUAAUACUGAUGAUUAUAUGAUGAUUUCAGAGAUUUGUUGUUGUUAAUUGAAUUUAUCAUACAAUGCUGUUUAGCUAUUUGAUUAGAUGCUUAAGAAUUAUUGGACUUCUUUUCAUUCUAGUAUGCCUCGUGAAUCCCAAGCUUGUGAAAAUUUCACAUAUGGUACAUAUGAUGAGUACUGCUGACAUAAAACAAAUAUACUUGGUUUAUGAAUGAUAGAAAUAGUAUAUAGACAUUGUGUUGAGUGAUGUUUGAAAUUGUUCUUCUCUUGCAUUCAUGAACUGUUUAAAGCAAUCCAUUCAUGCUUAUCAUUGUGAAUGUUUUAAACUUAUAAUCAGGUACCAUGGCUCCAUUAUCGUCAAUUCCUUGUUUUCCUUCUCUAGUUAAAGUGCUUCAAACGUAGCUCUUGAACUAGAUGUAUACUUUUAGUGUUAGUCUUUUGAGUGCUUCUUUCAUUUUUUAAAAAUAAAAUAUCCUAUACAUCGGGAGUGGUAUAGACCCAUGCAUUUAUUAAAGCAGAAAAGAUAAUACUACCCGAAGAUAAAAGCAAAAGGAAAAGAAUUCACGAAGGAAAAAAAUCAGGUAACAUCCUCCAUUUGACACACUAUUAUAUAUUUUCAUAACUCUACUUUAUUUUCCUUUUCUGAUAUGAAAAAAAGGUUGCUAAGGACAGGGCUAGCUGUAUGCAGUUGUGUCAUUAUAUGAAAAAAGUUUGUUGACUAUCACAGAAAAUUUAGAUGCAGAAUUCAAUGAUAAAUUAAUCACAGUAGAACAUAGUAGCUGUGCACUAAAAUAUUGGAGAUUUUUUUGGUCUGGACUAAUAUAUAGAUUUCUGACCUGUUUUUAUCACUACUAUUACCAAAUGAUAAACUAUGAAAAUGAUUGAAUCUUCUCAAAUGCAGAUUAUAGUUUACAGAAUAAUAAAGAGUAGUAACAUUAAAAGUCUAACUUGUCUAAAUUUUUAUUAAGUACAAAUCUUCAUUCUUAUUUCUUCUUCUUAUUGUUCCGGCUGUUGUUGUUAACGGUUAAGUGGUGUAUUAUCCAAUCUGUGAGCAGGUAAAUUUUAAUGUGCAAGUGGAUCAAUCAUAUCAUCAAGAAAAAAAGAGCUAUAUAGACAAAAGGCUUUCACUAAAAAACAAAAAAGGAACAGGGGGUCCAACUCCAGCAUCAGCACUAAAGCUAGACAAGCUUCUCCAUGAUUAGGUGCUAGUCCUAAUCAUGUUCUAUAUGUUGCUGCUGCAUGUAGUAGUAGUAGUUGGAGGAGUAAUAAUUCAAGAUUGGCUUGUGUAGGAGAGUUCAACUUUUCAAAUGUGAAGAGAAUAGAGAAAUUUUGUGGCAACAGUUCUGAUUUUGGCAUUGUGGUGGGAGGAUAAUAUUGAGGAUGAUGAUAAUGAAGAUUAAGUUGAUUAUUAUUGUGAUUUAUUGGCUAAGAUAGAGUAAUGUUGGAAAUGGAUACAUGUAUAGUUGACUAAUGACUUUUAUUAGAAGAUACUUAUGUAGGAUAUAAUAUUUUAGUUUUUUAUAGAGUAUUAGUAGUAAAUUCUAAGUGAUAUCAUAGUUAUUUUGAUAUGGCUAUGUUUAUUUUAA